ACAUUGCAGAGCACCGAUUUACUCAGCUGGUUGUAUUUCCUGAGGAUGUGAUUCAUCAUAUCCAGGAGACAGGGAAAGAACAACAUUUGAAAACUCACUUAAGAAGGGGUGGAUAAAACACGAUUCUUUCUGACAAACCUGUCUUUUAUGAUAUGCUGAGGAGGUUUCUGGCAUUUCUUCUCGGGCAGAGGGAGGUGAAGGUGAAGAGACAAGUAGAAGACAGAGAUCAGCGAGAUGCAAGGUCUGCUUCAGCUCCCUGGCGACACUAAUGGGUGCGUUGCUGAGGAAAUGAAGAACGUCACAUUCAAAACCUCAUUUCCUCUCUUAACUACAAGGGAUUUUAGCAUCAAAGGACUUCAUACCCAGACCUCAACCUUGUAAAAACUCAGCCUGCAAAGGAAACCAGCAGGGGGCGCUGCUACCCUUUCUAAGACUCUUUUGGCUUGCACGGCCUUCUGAUGCCCAGCAGAGGGGCCAGCUGCAAGCCCUGAUGGGGGAAACGGAGGAGGAAAGGCGUUUCAGGAGGCACUCUGAGGCCGAAGGAUAGCAGCGGCAAGGAAAGCAGACAUUCCCCUCAGGCUUGGUUUUUGGCAGCAUCUCUAAGUCAUGUGAUAUGCUUGAGGCUACCAGCAGUGCAAGGGAACUUUGAUGAAAAUGAAGAGAGAAGUCACUUCUAGAUCAAGUUCCUGGAU